CCGAGUUAUCAACUCCCAAACCCCUGUGAACUAUCUCUUUGUUGCCUCGGCGGCAAGCUCCCCGGCGACCUCCGGCCCGGACCAGGCGCCCGCCGGCAGGACAACCAAACUCUUGUUAUCUAUAGUGAUCUUCUGAGUGUACUAUCUAAUAAGUA
rnacentral:misc_RNA from 1 species